UACAGAGGUCUCAAGCGUUGUUCGGAUUCAUUGGGCGUAAAGGGUGCGUAGGCGGCGCGGUAAGUCGGGUGUGAAAUCUCGGAGCUUAACUCCGAAACUGCAUUCGAUACUGCCGUGCUUGAGGACUGGAGAGGAGACUGGAAUUUACGGUGUAGCGGUGAAAUGCGUAGAUAUCGUAAGGAAGACCAGUGGCGAAGGCGGGUCUCUGGACAGUUAAUGACGCUGAGGCACGAAGGUCAGGGGAGCAAACGGG
rnacentral:rRNA from 1 species